UACGUAGGGUGCGAGCGUUAAUCGGAAUUACUGGGCGUAAAGCGUGCGCAGGCGGUUUUGUAAGCCAGGUGUGAAAUCCCCGGGCUCAACCUGGGAAUGGCAUUUGGGACUGCAAGGCUGGAGUGUGGCAGAGGAGACUGGAAUUCCUGGUGUAGCAGUGAAAUGCGUAGAUAUCAGGAGGAAUACCGAUGGCGAAGGCAGGUCUCUGGGCCACUACUGACGCUGAGAAGCGAAAGCAUGGGGAGCGAACAGG
rnacentral:rRNA from 1 species